GCGAAGCUUUUCAGUAGUUUACUACAGAAAAUGACUGAGCGGCGAACGGGUGAGUAACGCGUGAGCAAUCUACCUUAGUUACAGGGAUAGCCCGAGGAAACUCGGAUUAAUACCUGAUAUUCUUUAUAUUUCGCAUGAAAUUAAAAGGAAAGGUCAGCCGAACUAAGAUGAGCUCGCGUUCUAUCAGCUAGUUGGUGAGGUAAAAGCUCACCAAGGCUACGACGGAUAGCUGGUCUGAGAGGACGAUCAGCCACACUGGGACUGAGACACGGCCCAGACUCCUACGGGAGGCUGCAGCAGGGAAUAUUGCGCAAUGAGCGAAAGCUUGACGCAGCGACACCGCGUGUGGGAUGACGGAUCUAGGUUUGUAAACCACUUUCAGGAGGGAAGAAAAUGACGGUACCUCCACAAGAAGCCCCGGCCAACUACGUGCCAGCAGCCGCGGUAAUACGUAGGGGGCGAGCGUUGUCCGGAUUUAUUGGGCGUAAAGAGCUCGUAGGCGGUUCAACAAGUCGGUCGUAAAAGUUCAGGGCUCAACCCUGAAAUGUCGAUCGAUACUGUUGUGACUAGGAUACGGUAGAGGUGAGUGGAAUUCCGAGUGUAGCGGUGAAAUGCGUAGAUAUUCGGAGGAACACCAAUUGCGAAGGCAGCUCACUGGGCCGCUAUCGACGCUGAGGAGCGAAAGCUAGG
rnacentral:rRNA from 1 species